rnacentral:lncRNA from 1 species
GGGAUGUGCGAAAACUGAUAUUAAAGCCUUGCGGGGUUCCGGUUGACAUUUCGGGUAAUUAGUGUCGAUCAAGACACCGCGGCGGUUGCCACGGGCUCGAGGGGAGUACCGGGUCAUGACAUACAUUGUCUAAACAUAUAGCUUAAUAAUUUUCAUUGGGUUUAUCUAUACACUACAAAAAAAAGAGUGCUUGACUUCCAACGGAGAGACUCGGACGAAUAUAUAGCUACUGAAUGCCGAGACACCUACCAAGGGUCGAAUGUAUGAAGACACCUCGACCUAGGUAUCAGCUGUCUCGUGAUCUGAAAACUUGAAGUUGAAAACGGUGAGUAUAAAUCCAGUGAGUGAACAAGGAAGGGAACAAGCAAUUUAUAAGGAAGAAUUUGGAAAUCAUGAUGCAUUUGUUUUGAAAACAAUGCAAUUUGGUUUAAUUUCUUUCUUAAACCCCCUUAUUUUGGACAUUGAUAAGUGGACUCUUAGUAUUGAAAAGACCCAUGCUCAAUCAUGAAGAUAAGGGAGUGGAGGAAAUUAUAUCAGAACCCGAGCAAGGUAGCAACGUGACAGCACUUUUCUCACUGUAGAAAAAGGCAUUCUCGAUUUGUAUAUGGUUCGGUUUUUCCAGUAUAUCUUCCACUACAUGGGUCCAAUUAACAUGCUUGUUAGGUCAUCAAAAAUAUAAGAGGCAGGGCUACGACUUUACUGUUUAUCACUUUGCCUAGUUCUAAUCAAAAGGUGGUCAAAAUUACUGUCAAAGUGAUAGUACUGUACCUCCACUGAGAAUUUCUGGCGGCAGCGAGAAUCCAUUUCGCUGUAGCCAAAUUCCUUAUUGCAAUGAACACCAAUUUG